CCUGGUAACAAUGGCGAGAAGGUCACACCCGUUCCCAUACCGAACACGGAAGUUAAGCUUCUCAGCGCCGAUGGUAGUUGGGGCAUGCGCCCCUGUGAGAGUAGGACGUUGCCAGGC
rnacentral:rRNA from 1 species